ACAAAGUCUCGGCCGCCCGAAGAAAGUGAUUCAUCGCAGACGACUAAAGAAGCCAUUCCUUAUUUUCGGGGUUUUUUUUUCUGUGUCAACUCUAAUUUGAGGAAAUGUAAGCAAUGUAUUUCCCAAAUCCGCAAUGAUUUUGGGAUUCAAGCAAAACAAGUGAUACGCCAUUCAAUUAUGUUAAGCGUCUCAACUACCUGCGAAAUCUGAUGUGAAUUGGAAACCAAUACGAGUGACUCGGAAUUUCCCGGAAUAACGGUGCAUCGCGCUGUCUCCAGCAGACAUUCUGGGAAUAUUAUGUGACAGCAGAGAGAUAUUGGAUUCCUUCUCUGAUUGGAAGGGAGUGGUGGAAUUCGUUUUUUAAAAAAAAUCACUCGUCUUCAUAUAGAAUAGAUAGCUUUAGCGCCCUCUGUAGGGGAAAACUGGCAGUGAUAUAUUAUACAAGGAGAUACAUACAUAAGAUUGAAAAAGUAACAACUAUUUUGAUUAUGAGGUAAUUUGGUGAACGUCUCUCUGUAGCAAUGGAAGGAUGGACCAAAGUGGGUUGGAGAACAACAGGGCUGCUAAUUAUCUCCCUUGUUUUGCUGGACAUCGGAUUGUGUACCGAGUUUGGACCCGAUUUGACUAAAAACAGUAGGGACCAACAGAUAACCUUAAUUCAGGAGAGGUUGUUGUGUGAGGGGCUUAUUGCCGAAGAGAGGAACAUGUCAACGUCUAACGAAUCCCAGUGUGUGAGGGUUUGGGACAACGUCAUGUGUUGGCCUCCCACCCCCGCGGGUCAGCUAGCCAUCCUACCCUGUCCAAGCCACAUCAGGAAUAUUGACACCUCCCAGAACGCCUCCCGCCAGUGUAUGGAGGACGGCACGUGGUUUGUACAUCCGAAUCAUAGUUCCUGGACCAACUUCACCCAGUGUUAUUUAUCAGUAUCAGGUGUCAAUAAACAUUCCUCAGUUCCGCCUUUGAUUGAGAGAUAUGCAGACUCUGUUCAGCUAAUGUACAACAUCGGGUAUGGGUUGUCUCUCGGGUCAUUAGUCAUAGCCGUAAUUAUCAUGGUCUAUUUCAAGUAAGUCCUAGCCACGGUUAUCACAAUUUUAAUUAUUCAAAUUACGUUAUUAUUAAAUACUUUAUACAAUGUAUCAAAAAGAUGUAUGAAGGAAAUUUAUCAAAAUUUCACCUUUUAAUUUUAUUAAAACUAUGAGAAAUACAUUCUUUUUACUGUUAAAUUUUUUAUGGUUGUGUAUUAUUUUUAGCUCACCUGAACCGAAGGUUUUUAAAAGAGAAACCAGGAAAAUAGGGGCCAUGUCUUUAAAAAUCUUCUCAAAAAUAUUCCUAUUUUAUCAUUUUCCACCAACAAAUUGUUUUAUUAUUUCAAAUAUUUACAAAAUAAAGAAAAUCUUGGAAAGGUUGGACAAUUUUGACAAAUUUUUCAGUAAACAUUCAGGGAUCAAUAGCAUAAUAAUUAGGUCAUUGACCUAGUUAUUCAAAGUGAAAAAGAGCACCACAAUAGUAGUUUUACGUUCCUUUUAGCGGAAUUUUUAUGGCCCAUGAAAACGUGAUACUUAAUAACCACGAAGAACUUGGUUUUUAUUAAGUAUAUCCCUCAAUCUACAUUAAUCUGUUUUAGAAAGCUCCACUGUGCGCGCAACUUCAUCCACAUCAACCUCUUUGUGUCUUUCAUCCUGCGAGCAACCAUGACUAUCAUCAGAGACAAACUUCUAGUGAAGUUCGUGGGUUUCCCCAGUGACGUGAUAAAUGAAAAUGGCGUCAUUAGAUUUAGAGACGACGUCAUUCACUGGGAGUGUCGUAUGUUCUUCACCCUGUAUAACUACACCCUGGCCGCAAGCUACAUGUGGAUCUUUGUGGAGGCCCUCUAUCUACAGAUACUCAUUUCCGUUUCUGUUUUCAUGGAGAGGAGCCGGACCAAGUGGUUCAUGCUUCUGGGAUGGUUAUUUCCACUGACUUUCAUUUUGCCAUGGGUGCUUGUUCGGAUUUUAAAGUAUAAUGAACUUUGUUGGAAUAUCAGCAAAAACAAUCUACUCAUGUUCAUCAUUUAUGGUCCAUCUGCAAUCACAGCACUGAUUCAGUUCAUCAUUUUCAUCAACAUCGUUCGAGUUUUAUUUACCAAACUUCAUGCAUCAGCCGGGCACCAGACAAACAGUUUCCGGUAUAGACGCUUGGCUAAAUCUAUCCUCAUCCUGAUUCCGCUGUUCGGCGUAUAUAACAUUAUCUUCAAUGUGAACUACGUGAUGACAAGCUUCAACUAUAUAGACGAGACCUCCAUGGCGUACUUCAUUCUAUGGUGGAUCGAAUUGUUCUUUAACUCGUUUCAGGGGUUCAUCCUCGCCAUGUUGUUUUGUUUCCUGAACGCUGAGGUACAAGCAGAAUUUAAAAAGGUUUGGCAUCGACAUACAACGGAUUGGACCGGAAGUGUUAGAACAACACGAACAUUUAUGUCACGCACGCGCAAUUCUGUGAAAAAUCCUUCGACUUCAAAUGGAAACGCGUCACCUCACAGUGAUGUCAUCAGUAGUACAAAAAACGAACUCGAUUCAGAGUUAUUAGCUAUUUUUAAAAACGAACCAAACUGUGACAAUGAUAUAGAAAUCCGGACUGUCGACACAGAAUUAACUGAGGAGCAUUCUCCCUGCAUAAACAAUAACGAAUCAAUUUCCGAAAAAUGUGACGAGAAACUUUGACACUGUGACGCACACUUUCUUGUGGAAGUUUUGGACAUGCUUGUCAACCAUAGUACGACUUGACUACACAUGGAAAAGCAAUUCAGUAUUAUCCAAUGUAGAAGCUUUUGGAACAACAUAAAUGGAAAAAGAAAGAUGGAACUGGUUCCAUAUCGAUGUUUCCAAGGUUCUUCAAUCAUGUAUUUUUACUUGACAACAUUUUUCUUUGGUGUUUGAUUCAUGAUUCUGUUGGAAGUCCUUCAUUCGUGAAAAAAAACAUGAUAUCAAGAAAGAGUGGAUUUGGUGGUUAACUUGAUCAAAUAUAAAAACGUUGUUUUUGCCAGGAAAUGGAAAAAAAUUACAUGAGAAAGUUAGACUUUAAAUUGUUUGUGUUUUACAUGUGUCUACAUGCAUGUCUACGUGAACUUGUCCGUACACUUGUUAAAUGGUGUGCAUUUUUUUCUAUUAUGACAGUGGAGCUAGCGGAUGGUGAUGAUAUUUUAUGAGCUUGUUGUUAGACAUUAUGUGAUGUAUGAACUUUUUCUUUAACAAUAGAAUAUACUUGUUUUUGUGUCCAUGUUUAUAAAUUAUGUACUUCAACACCUCACAUCGAAAUUCAAUGAACAUUUGUAGAAUAAAAUGAAGUAAUCAAUAAU
rnacentral:misc_RNA from 1 species